UACAGAGGGUGCGAGCGUUUAAUCGGAAUUACUGGGCGUAAAGCGUGCGUAGACGGUUAUUUAAGUCGGGUGUGAAAGCCCCGGGCUCAACCUGGGAAUUGCAUUCGAGACUGAAUAGCUAGGGUACGGUAGAGGGAAGUGGAAUUUCCGGUGUAGCGGUGAAAUGCGUAGAUAUCGGAAGGAACAUCAGUGGCGAAAGCGACUUCCUGGACCAGUACCGACGUUCAGGCACGAAAGCGUGGGGAGCAAACAGG
rnacentral:rRNA from 1 species